CCUGAUUUUCAGUAUGAGUAAAUAGGCUAUAAAAUAUGUUUUUAUGGUGUUUUUGUCUAUGUGUUUUCUUAUGAUCCUUCUCCUGAUUUUCUUUUGUGUCAUGUAUGUAGGGAGAUGAUGGUGAUCAAUACCGUCUUGUAAAGCGUCAAAGACGGAAAGCGAAAGCCACAACACCCGAUGUAGGCGGUUCCUCAUCUACAGCAGUUGUUGAGGAAAUCGGCAACCCGAGCACCUACUGUGGCAACUCCAACACCUAGUGAGCCAGCUGCAGGUCAACACAUGCAUAAUGCAUCAUCUGAUGGGCCAACGCCCGCAACUAGUGAGGGAAACACACUUUCAUCUGUGCCAGCUCCAGUAAUCACUCUGCCAAGUACAAUAUCAAGUGAGGCAACUGUAACUCCAGAUGUGCCACCCCCAAUAGCCAAUGUGCCACCUGAAGGUCAAACUGUGCCAACUGCAGGGCAUAUGUUGGAUGUUGGUGUGAACAAUCUUUUGUGCCUAUUUUGUAUCUAUUUUCAUCGGAUGUUGGUGUGAACAAUCUUUUAUGCACGCUGUGUGCCUACAGGUGGCUGCUGCAACUUGUCUAGUUGCACGAAAGCAGUAUAUAGUUGCACCAACUUGUUUACUUUU